AAAUGAUUCAUUUAAAAUGUAUUGUAAUUAUGUAAACAUUCCCUUUAUAUGAUAUAAUUAACUACAUGUUUAUGGUGUCUUUAAAUAAUACAAUCAAGCACACUAUUACUAUCUCAUUAGUAUCACAUUAAUAAAAAGUCUGUAUCAUAGAAUACCAACUUAUUCUAUUUUUAUUUUGUAGACGUUCAUUGCACAACUUUUAAAUGUAAUUAAACCUACUGUAGUGUCACAGAACACUCUGUAACAAGAAGAUCCAAUUGCAGUAAUCCCCAUCGAGGCAAAAUGCAGAAAACCUUGCAUAAGGGUCAAGAUCAAGUUAUCUGCAUCUCCUGCGCUCCAUCAAGUUACAUCAAGCAGGCUGGGCAUGUGUAAUGGAAGACAGCAUUGAGCCAAAGGCAGACCAGGGAACCAAGGUGGAGCUGGCAGAACAGGAGGCCAGGGAGGUUGGGAUGACCACCACAGCAAGCCCAUCGGGACUAAAGAUCCCCAUGGUGGAGCUGACGGAGAUGAAGACACCUUCAGUGGGGUUGACGAGGCAGAUGACCCCCUGGCAGAUCAGGCAGGACUGCAAUGAAGAGCAUAAAGAGGACCAACAGAGAGUUCAAAAGUGGGUGCAGCCACCUUAAGAGAACCUGAAGUGGACACCUCUGGAGGUUUAGAACCCAACUCUAGGUCAGGCUCAUAAACUGGGGCGAGUUCAGGACUACACUCAUAGAUCGGAAAGGGCAUUGGAUCAAACUCAUAAACUGAGGUGAGCUCUGGUGUGUGGACUUGUGAGAUAGAGCAAGCUCUGUGGUAAGCUCUGGAAUUAACUCACAAACUACAGCAGGCUCUGGAGUGGACUCAUAAACUGGAGCAAACACUGGAGUGAACUCAUAGACUUGAGCAGACUCUGGAGCAGGUUCAUAGAUGGGAGCGAACUCUGGAAGGAACUCAUAGACUUGAGUAGGCUCUGAAGCAAACUCAUAAACUGGCACAAACAGGCUCCAGAGAAGAUUCCUGGACUGGAGCAGACUCUGAGGGUUUCUGGACUGGAGCAAGUACUUGAGUGGACUCCGACGACUCCAGGGCUGGAGCGAAUUCAUGAGUGAACUCAUGGAAUGGAACAGACUCUGUGAUAACUAAUGCUGAGGCCCUUGAAUACCAAGUGUCGUUUAAACGCUUGAGUGUCUUCCAGGGCAAGGUUCAUGAACACAGGAGUGGCAUGUGGCUUAACAUCUAUGACGGCUGGAGGUUCUGAUUUGGCGGCCAUAACGGCUGGAGGCUCUGGUGUGGCAGCCAUCUUGUGAAGAGACUCUGGUUGGUGGCCAUCUUGUGAAAGGGCUCUGGAACAGCCUUCUCUGGAGCCGACUCUGGGACAACAGGAGUAGACUUAGCUGCCCUUCUCCUUCUCAACCUUCGCUUGUGAGACAGAGACAAUGAAGCCUCACUGUCCCCUGAAGAUGUUGUGGCAGACACUGCCUUCUCUGGGGGCUGUGCCAUGAGCACAGACUUACAUGAUGUUACUAUUAGAACUGAGAUAGUCAAUGAAGCCCCAAAAAUAGAGUCUUAAGUCCCUCCACCUCAGUCAAGGGCUAUCAAGGCAUCCAUUGCACUCAGCACUCAUACAUCUGGACAAAAAAAGACUCAUGUCAGGAUGCUGUUCAUAGACUUCAGUUCAGCAUUCAACACAAUCAUCCCUUCUACAGCUCAUUAACAAACUGGUCCAGCUGGGACUCAACACGCUGUGCAACUGGCUGUUAGACUUUCUGACCGGAAGACCUCAGGCAGUACGGGUCGGCAGCAACAAGUCCAGCACCAUGACAAUGAACACUGUGUAGAGGAGGGGGCUCAGCACACAUCCUUGGGGGGCCCCAGUGCUGACCCACGAUUGCAGACCUUCACACAACUCCAACCUCUUUAUUAAGUUUGCGGAUGACACGACUGUGGUAGGUCUCAUUAGCAACAGAGAUGAAACAAACUACAGGAGCGAGGUGAGCCGCCUGGCCGGGUGGUGCAGUGACAACAAUCUCUUUCUGAACAUGGAGAAGACGAAAAAGUGACUGGGACCUCACUACCUCAUUCACCAGUUAACUGACCUCAUUCAACUACCUCUUCUGUCAGUUUAAUUAAAUAACUGCUCUCUGAGAUUUUUGACACUUUAAUCAGACCGAAUAAGCUCUUUUGCACUACAAUCAUUAUAUCUGCACUUCACUGUUUUACACUCUAUCUGCCAUGUGCCUUGUGCUGCUUUACUUAUCUUUCUUUUUACAUGGCCUAUUUGUAUAGUUGUACUUUAUAUUUUAUUAUCUGUAUUUAAUGUUCUACUGUUAGUGUUAUCUGUAUGCACCAAGGGUCUGAGAGUAACACAAUUUCAAUUCUCUGUAUGUAUGUACUAUACAUGUGGAAGAACUGACAAUAAAGCAGACUUGACUUGACUUGUGCUGGUAGUG
ensembl:lncRNA